UAGGGAAUCUUCCACAAUGGGCGAAAGCCUGAUGGAGCAACGCCGCGUGUGUGAUGAAGGGUUUCGGCUCGUAAAACACUGUUGUAAGAGAAGAAUGACAUUGAGAGUAACUGUUCAAUGUGUGACGGUAUCUUACCUAGAAAGGACGGCUAAAUACGUGCCAC
rnacentral:rRNA from 1 species